CCUACGGGAGGCAGCAGUGGGGAAUAUUGCGCAAUGGGCGAAAGCCUGACGCAGCGACGCCGCGUGAGGGAUGAAGGUCUUCGGAUCGUAAACCUCUGUCAGCAGGGAAGAACGGUCACUGUGCUAAUCAGCAGUGAAUUGACGGUACCUGCAAAGGACGCACCGGCUAAAUCCGUGCCAGCAGCCGCCGGAAUACGGAGGGUCGGAGCGGUAAUCGGAAUUAGUGGGCGUAAAGCGCUCGUGGGGGGUAUGUAAAGUCAAGGGUGAAAUGCCCGCGCUCAACGUGGGAACUGCCUUUGAAACUGGCAAACUGGAGGGCGCGAGAGGAUAGUGGAAUGCCAGGUGUAGGAGUGAAAUCCGUAGAUAUCUGGAGGAACAUCAGUGGCGAAGGCGACUAUCUGGCACAUAACUGACGCUGAGGAGCGAAAGCGUGGGUAGCAAACAGGAUUAGAUACCCCUGUAGUC
rnacentral:rRNA from 1 species